rnacentral:rRNA from 1 species
AUAAACGCUGGCGGCGUGCAUGAGACAUGCAAGUCGAACGAAGGAUCGGGCUUGCUCGAUCCUUAGUGGCGGACGGCUGAGUAACGCGUAGGUGACCUACCCCGAAGUGGGGAAUAACUGCCCGAAAGGGUGGCUAAUACCGCAUGUGGUCGCACGUUCAUUCGUGCGAGUAAAGCCGCAAGGCGCUUCGGGAGGGGCCUGCGUCCGAUUAGCUCGUUGGUGGGGUAAUGGCUUACCAAGGCGACGAUCGGUAGGUGGUCUGAGAGGACGAUCACCCAGACUGGGACUGAGGCACGGCCCAGACUCCUACGGGAGGCAGCAGUCGGGAAUUUUGCUCAAUGGGGGAAACCCUGAAGCAGCAACGCCGCGUGAGGGAUGAAGGCCUUCGGGUUGUAAACCUCUUUUGUCAGGGACGAUGAUGACGGUACCUGGCGAAUAAGCCACGGCUAACUACGUG